GAUAAUGCUGACUGUGCAGUCACAGAGCUGGGUUCUGAGUGACCUAUUUUCUCUCAGGAAAGAGCUUGUGGUCACUGUGGACAGAUUUCUGACAAUACAAGCCCAGUGCUCAGCAGCAGGUCAGAAGGGAACGAGAAGGUUAGGAGGGACAGGGAAGAACACCAAGAACAGGGCAGUAGAUGUUGUUAAGCUGCUGAAUAAAUCCAGGUCACAGCCACAACUUGAAUAGUCUGUGCAGUCUGCUUGAUCCACUCUGGUUAGUCAUUCUUGAACCAAAAGGGGUGUUGCAGAGCUAGGAAGAUUACAGAGAAAGAUAACACGGUAUGGGAGGGCAUCUGUGUAAAGGGAGAUGAGGCUACUUUAGAACUGCUCAACCUGGAAAAGACAGUAAUUGAGAGAGUUUUGGUUGCAGCUGUGAACGGCACACAGGUGAACAGCGGAACAAUACCAUGGCACAGAAGGCAGGGUGCACCCACUGAGCUGGGAAUCAUGGAAGUGGUUGGCAAAAGAUACUUUGGGUGCCAAAACAAAAAUGUGUUCAGAGAGCAACUAGGCAGAAUGGUGGCAGCAAGGACGAUUAAACACACUUGUCCAGAAUCAACCGCUGCCUCGAGAAGCUUGUCACCUUGGGCUGACGAGAGACUAAACCAGCGAAGGAUCCCUCUAUAGGUGCCUCUUACAUGCCGUUUCUCAUGAUUUUGGGGUAGGUGAACUCUGGCUCUGGUUCAUUAAUACUGUUUUCAUGUAUUAUCCCAAACACACACAGCACACCAUUUCUGCCCUUGCUCAGGGGCUACACCAGCUGCAUUUCAGACCCCGUUUUAUACUUCUGACAGCUGUAUUAGAGGAACAGCGCUGGUACUGCUGAAGUCUUAAAAUAGCAAACCAUGACAGGCUACUUGUCAUCCUCCUCUGAUUAACAUUGUAGCUCUUUACUAGUGGAUUAUGUAGAACCUCUCAUCAUUAAGGCUGUUCCCUUGCAAACAGAUGGCUGCAGCGUGUGACAUCCCGAGUGCCUGUUGGGACCCAGCAUGGACUCAGAGGCUUGCUCGGCCUGCUGGCGUUGUAUCUGUCUUGUAUGUGGUGUUAGCAGAAUGGAGAUAUGUGGCUGAAGCAGGAUACCCAGUGAGACAAGUCCUCCACUGGCCACAGGAUAGGUGUGACUGCCACCAGCCUGUCUCGUUGAGGUUUGGGGGGUGUCUCCCCUGUAUGAGCUGCAGCAGAAAGCUCUGCUGCAGAGGCCCUUGCAGGGUUAAUGCACAGCACUACUCCUCUCUCUGCACCGCUGGAGUGAUUCCAUAAGGUCAGCUGUGUUAGGAGUGUGUCAGGGAGAGCAGCUGGGUCCUGCCAAGCCAGUAAAAACAGCCUCUCAUUGGAGAGGAGACACCCCUGCAAGUGCUGUGAGGCUCCUUCCUGCCAUCUGAGCUGUGCUGGGCAAAGAUUCUUGGGAGGCUCCCCCACUUCUGUAGCCCCAGACACAGAGUCUGGACCAGUGGGCUUGCUCUGGGUACCGCUGGGGAGCGGGGAAGGGAUGCAAAGGGUGUGCAAAGUUUUAGAGGAGUGUACGAAAGAGCUUUGGGCUAAGAAAGCCAUGCAGAGUGAAAGAUUGCUGGGCUGCCUGGCUCAUAAAGGCAUCCCAGGAAACACCCUUGAGGUUCUGAUGCCCUGACUCCAGAGCCCCCCAUUGAUUCCCAGUCCCAGGUCUCUCUUCUGACUCCUUCUGAAAUCUGUGCCCUUCUGUCUUCAGAAAUCAGCGUGAUUUGACUGACCAAGAUGCCCAUUGAUGUUGAUUAUUUGAUUCUGCUGUUCUGCCAUCUCUCAGAACAGAACGCAAUGGCAGCUGAUGUCAAAAGACGUCAUCUCCUGGCAGGUGCAGGAGCAGGAGCAUUUAUUGAAAGUCUGCUGGCAGGUCCACCUGGAGUGAUUAUAGGAGCAGUACUUCAUGACUGCAUCUGUGGUGAAACUGGACAGCUCAAGCCGGUCUCUCAGAUUUUAUUGGAAUUGCCUCCUCAUAAGAAGAAGAAAUUGUGUGAUGAAGCCAUGGUUAUUCUCUGCCCCUUUGACUGGAGUGGUUUAUCUGAGCUGAUUGCUCUUGUCAUGGAAAAUGCCAGUCUCCAGCAGAAGUUGAUAGCAUUGCUGACAGAUUACUUCUCCAAAGAACUAGGGGCAGAUAUAAAGCCUUCAGAAUAAAACUUUCCAGAGCAGGCUUUUUGCAGUGUAAUGAAUUUUACUCUUUUAAAAAAAAUUAAAAAUGGGGAGUUUGAUUCUGCCACCAUUGUAUCGUCCUUGGGAUUAGGGUGGUCAUUCCAGCAUUGACUUCUGUGAGGAGGAGGCAGCCCUGGGCUGCUCAGCUGGUGCUGCUGUGGGGUGACACCGGCUGCAGGUGGCACCGUGAGCUCCAAGGGCCAUGUUGCAAAUAGCCCAGCCAGUUGUUCAUUUUUGCAUGACAAGUCUGUAAGUAGAACAAUGUGCAGGCGUGCCUUCUUUUGUAUGCAAAAACAAGUGAAACUGCUCUGAUAAUUUCAGUUUUCCCCUAAAAUAAAGAUUCAUCUCUCUG